rnacentral:rRNA from 1 species
UGGGGAAUAUUGGGCAAUGGGGGGAACCCUGACCCAGCAACGCCGCGUGAAGGAAGAAGGUUUUCGGAUUGUAAACUUCUGUCCUUGGUGAAGAGGAAGAGACGGUAGCCAAGGAGGAAGCCCCGGCUAACUACGUGCCAGCAGCCGCGGUAAUACGUAGGGGGCAAGCGUUGUCCGGAAUCACUGGGCGUAAAGGGCGCGUAGGCGGUAUGUUAAGUCAGGUGUGAAAGUUUUCGGCUCAACCGGAAAAGUGCACUUGAAACUAAUUUACUUGAGUACUGGAGAGGUAAGCGGAAUUCCUAGUGUAGCGGUGAAAUGCGUAGAUAUUAGGAAGAACACCGGUGGCGAAGGCGGCUUACUGGACAGAGACUGACGCUGAGGCGCGAAAGCGUGGGGAGCGAACAGG